rnacentral:rRNA from 1 species
CUAUCUACAGGCUUAACACAUGCAAGUCGAGGGGCAGCAUGGUCUUAGCUUGCUAAGGCCGAUGGCGACCGGCGCACGGGUGAGUAACGCGUAUCCUACCUGCCUUACACUCUUGGACAGCCUUCUGAAAGGGAGAUUAAUACAAGAUGUUAUCAUGAGUAAGCAUUUUCGCAUGAUUAAAGGUUUACCGGUGUAAGAUGGGGAUGCGUUCCAUUAGAUAGUAGGCGGGGUAACGGCCCACCUAGUCUUCGAUGGAUAGGGGUUCUGAGAGGAAGGUCCCCCACAUUGGAACUGAGACACGGUCCAAACUCCUACGGGAGGCAGCAGUGAGGAAUAUUGGUCAAUGGACGAGAGUCUGAACCAGCCAAGUAGCGUGAAGGAUGAAGGUUCUAUGGAUUGUAAACUUCUUUUAUACGGGAAUAAACGGAUCCACGUGUGGAUUUUUGCAUGUACCGUAUGAAUAAGGAUCGGCUAACUCCGUGCCAGCAGCCGCGGUAAUACGGAGGAUCCGAGCGUUAUCCGGAUUUAUUGGGUUUAAAGGGAGCGUAGAUGGGUUGUUAAGUCAGUUGUGAAAGUUUGCGGCUCAACCGUAAAAUUGCAAUUGAUACUGGCAGUCUUGAGUACAGUUGAGGUAGGCGGAAUUCGUGGUGUAGCGGUGAAAUGCUUAGAUAUCACGAAGAACUCCGAUUGCGAAGGCAGCUUACUAACCUGUAACUGACAUUGAUGCUCGAAAGUGUGGGUAUCAAACAGGAUUAGAUACCCUGGUAGUCCACACGGUAAACGAUGAAUACUCGCUGUAGGCGAUAUACAGUCUGCGGCCAAGCGAAAGCAUUAAGUAUUCCACCUGGGGAGUACGCCGGCAACGGUGAAACUCAAAGGAAUUGACGGGGGCCCGCACAAGCGGAGGAACAUGUGGUUUAAUUCGAUGAUACGCGAGGAACCUUACCCGGGCUUAAAUUGCAACCGAAUAUGGCGGAAACGCUAUAGCUAGCAAUAGCGGUUGUGAAGGUGUUGCAUGGUUGUCGUCAGCUCGUGCCGUGAGGUGUCGGCUUAAGUGCCAUAACGAGCGCAACCCUUGCCGAUAGUUACUAACAGGUCAUGCUGAGGACUCUGUCGGGACUGCCAUCGUAAGAUGUGAGGAAGGUGGGGAUGACGUCAAAUCAGCACGGCCCUUACGUCCGGGGCUACACACGUGUUACAAUGGGGGGUACAGAGGGCUGCUACCACGCAAGUGGAUGCCAAUCCCAAAAACCUCUCUCAGUUCGGAUUGAAGUCUGCAACCCGACUUCAUGAAGCUGGAUUCGCUAGUAAUCGCGCAUCAGCCACGGCGCGGUGAAUACGUUCCCGGGCCUUGUACACACCGCCCGUCAAGCCAUGGGAGCCGGGGGUACCUGAAGUGCGUAACCGCAAGGAGCGCCCUAGGGUAAAACUGGUGACUGGG